rnacentral:rRNA from 1 species
UACGUAGGGGGCAAGCGUUGUCCGGAAUCAUUGGGCGUAAAGCGCGCGUAGGCGGCCCGGUAAGUCCGUUGUGAAAGUCAAAGGCUCAACCUUUGAACGCCGAUGGAUACUGCCGGGCUAGAGUCCGGAAGAGGCGAGUGGAAUUCCUGGUGUAGCGGUGAAAUGCGCAGAUAUCGGGAGGAACACCAAUGGCGAAGGCAGCUCGCUGGGACGGUACUGACGCUGAGACGCGAAAGCGUGGGGAGCAAACAGG